GACGAACGCUGGCGGCGCGCUUAACACAUGCAAGUCGAACGGAAAGGCCCUGCUUUUGUGGGGUGCUCGAGUGGCGAACGGGUGAGUAACACGUGAGUAACCUGCCCUUGACUUUGGGAUAACUUCAGGAAACUGGGGCUAAUACCGGAUAGGAGCUCCUGCUGCAUGGUGGGGGUUGGAAAGUUUCGGCGGUUGGGGAUGGACUCGCGGCUUAUCAGCUUGUUGGUGGGGUAGUGGCUUACCAAGGCUUUGACGGGUAGCCGGCCUGAGAGGGUGACCGGCCACAUUGGGACUGAGAUACGGCCCAGACUCCUACGGGAGGCAGCAGUGGGGAAUAUUGCACAAUGGGCGGAAGCCUGAUGCAGCAACGCCGCGUGCGGGAUGACGGCCUUCGGGUUGUAAACCUCUUUCGCCUGUGACGAAGCGUGAGUGACGGUAAUGGGUAAAGAAGCACCGGCUAACUACGUG
rnacentral:rRNA from 1 species